rnacentral:rRNA from 1 species
CCUACGGGAGGCAGCAGUGGGGAAUAUUGCACAAUGGGCGGAAGCCUGAUGCAGCGACGCCGCGUGAGGGAUGAAGGCCUUCGGGUUGUAAACCUCUUUCGACAGGGACGAAGCGCAAGUGACGGUACCUGGAGAAGAAGCGCCGGCCAACUACGUGCCAGCAGCCGCGGUAAU